rnacentral:misc_RNA from 1 species
GAAAUGCGAUAAGUAGUGUGAAUUGCAGAAUUCAGUGAAUCAUCGAAUCUUUGAACGCACAUUGCGCCCCUCGGCAUUCCGUGGGGCAUGCCUGUUCGAGCGUCAUCUACACCCUCAAGCUCUGCUUGGUGUUGGGCGUCUGUCCCGCCUCCGCGCGCGGACUCGCCCCAAAUGCAUUGGCAGCGGUUCCUUGCCCCCCUCUUUGCGCAGCACAUUGCCAUUCGAGGCGGCGGCGGCCCGCGUCCAACAAGCUCAACCCCCCCGUCUUUGACCUCGGAUCAGGUAGGGAUAACCGCUGAACUUGAGC